rnacentral:lncRNA from 1 species
UCAAUAUGAAAGCCAACUACAUGAAGGUAUAUUUCAAUAUCAGACUAAAUUAUUUGAAGGAAGGCAGCUCCAAAUAAUAUAUUCAUUAACCACCCAAAUUAACAGAAUAUUUGGAGCAGUACAACUUAAAAGGCAUUAGUUGCAACAGCCACAAACCCAAUUCAAAUUUUCAUCAAGCCCACAUUCUCCACUAGGCCAUCCUUGACUCACACAACUUUUCUUGCAGGGCUUAUUGGUGCAAAAUGCCUUUUGGAAAUUUUUAUUUAUAUAGCAACGAGCAUUUGCUCCAGACAAUUCAUCUGCAAGCAUGAAAAAGAAACAAUCAAUUAAUGAUAUCAUUAAUGGCAACAACAAUAUUAAAAUUUUUAAGAAGGAUAACAGGUAAUCUUAGAUUACCAUCUACUAUUACCCUCUAAUACUUGGAAUACAUGAGUCUGGGUCUCAAGUCGUAAGCUGAUGCUUCAAAGCUCAACAAACAUUUAAUUUGUAAUCGAUAUAUUUUAAAAUCAUUCAUAGCUUUCUCGUAAUAUAUUCAGCUUAAUUUACUAUCAUCAAAGUAGAGCAUAGGAAGUUUGUAAUAGCUUUUCUUUAUGGCUAAAGAUGGGAGUACAGUGUGUUCUGAUAAUAUCAAGAAGUGGUUGCCUCCUGUCAUCCCUGGAGUCACCUAAUGCACCAUGUUCGGUUGGUAAGGUUUAACAAAUUUUGAGUGAGGCUCUGACCUAAUCCAUUCCCUCUGGAAAACUUUACUAUCGCCUAAGCUUAGGGGUAUAAAUGGGUUGGGUGAGUGACCUUGACCCAACAUAGUUUCUUAUUCAAGUCCUAAUGCUAGACCCGGAUCCAACCUAAUAGAAGAUCGAGUCGCAUCUACGGCUACAAUUUUUAACCCAACGGGUCAUUCGGGUCGGGUCGGAUCUAUGCAACCAAGUCCGAACUCAAAAAGUUUGGAUCCGAGCCAUAUCCGUGUAGGAAAAUAAGCCAAUACUCUAAUGAUUUUGCUUACACAUCAAAUAUCUGUAUCUAUGAAAUUUAUAAACCCACAUUCUCCCUUACUAAAAGAUAAAUAUAUCACCAUUUCCUACUAAAAGACAAAAAUAUCAAUAUCCUAUUCUAACGAAAAAGCAAACUUCAAUAUAUUAAGCCUAAAGCAAAACUACACUAAAGUAAGGAAACACUAAAAGACAAACUAUUCCAGCUAGAAUUAGAACAAGAAACAAAGAUAAACUAGAAGUAGAAUCUUAAAACAAAGAGAACAAGCAAUAUAUUUCCAACAAUAACAACAUCAACAAUUUCAGUGUUAGCAAAAAAUGCAGCAAACUAUAAAACAAAAGACUCUGAUUCUUUUUCAAGCCCUCGAAUAUUAUAUGCAUGCACACAUGAAAAGUUAGCAAACAUUAUACCAGAGGCUAACACGAGCAGCAGAAGCAUCAAAGAAAAAAUCACUUUCUUCUUUGCAUCCAUAGUGUUGUAUGUAUUGUGCUCAUAUGUAGGAGCAAUAUGAUGGAUAUAUAUAA